UUAAUAUGAGGCAGGCAUUACCUGUAAAUGGGGACGAAGUCUGUAUGAAUUAUUUUUUUGUAACUUAAUUAUUUGUCAAAAAAAAAGACACGGAAAUACCGUAACGUUUCCGAUUUUGGUUCUGUUGUUAGGGAUUUUAGUUGUGACGUUAUUUAAAUUAUGACGUCAUAUGCAAUGUAAACAAAGAAACGCUAUCAUUAGGUAACGUUUUUUCAUAUCAAGGAAUUAUUAAAAAUGAAAUUGGUAUUGCGCGUU
rnacentral:lncRNA from 1 species